GUGCCAGACUCCUACGGGAGGCAGCAGUGAGGAAUAUUGGUCAAUGGGCGGGAGCCUGAACCAGCCAAGCCGCGUGAGGGAAGAAGGUACAGCGUAUCGUAAACCUCUUUUGUCAGGGAACAAAGGCGGGGACUAGUCCCCGGAUGAGGGUACCUGAAGAAAAAGCAUCGGCUAACUCCGUGCCAGCAGCCGCGGUAAUACGGAGGAUGCGAGCGUUAUCCGGAUUUAUUGGGUUUAAAGGGUGCGCAGGGGGCCUGUUAAGUCAGCGGUAAAGGCCGGGGGCUCACCCCCGGCGAGCCGUUGAAACUGGGUGCCUUGAGUGGGCGAGAAGUACGCGGAAUGCGUGGUGUAGCGGUGAAAUGCAUAGAUAUCACGCAGAACUCCGAUUGCGAAGGCAGCGUACCGGCGCCCAACUGACGCUGAAGCACGAAGGCGUGGGUAUCGAACAGGAUUAGAUACCCCCGUACG
rnacentral:rRNA from 1 species